UACGUAGGGGGCUAGCGUUGCUCGGAAUCACUGGGCGUAAAGCGCACGUAGGCGGGUCGUUAAGUCAGGGGUGAAAUCCUGGAGCUCAACUCCAGAACUGCCUUUGAUACUGGCGAUCUCGAGUUCGGGAGAGGUGAGUGGAACUGCGAGUGUAGAGGUGAAAUUCGUAGAUAUUCGCAAGAACACCAGUGGCGAAGGCGGCUCACUGGCCCGAUACUGACGCUGAGGUGCGAAAGCGUGGGGAGCAAACAGG
rnacentral:rRNA from 1 species